rnacentral:rRNA from 1 species
AUGUCAAAGUGUGACAUCACGCUGGAGCAUCCAGUAGGGGGUUGUCGUCGUCGUCGUCGCCAUUUCGACCUGACCCGUUGCCUCCGGCGUGGCCGAUCUGUUGUUCCUAGGGUAUGGUGGACGACCAGUUCCGGCAGCUGCAGUCGCUGCAGGAGGAUGGCGGCAGCGCGUCGGGCUUCGUCGCCGGGGUCGCCACCCUCUUCAUCGACGAUGCCGACGGGAUCAUCAACGACAUCGGCAGCCUGCUGGACGCCGGCGGAACCUAGCCACCACUCCCCGCCGCGCCCCUCGUUGGUUACUUGCCGUGCUCGAUUUUUCCUUCCACGGACAAUUCUGUCAUUCGCCUCUACUGCCGGUGGUCGUGCCAGUCAUGCUCCUAUUGGUUCUUUGUGA